GAGCUGGAACAGAACCCUCAGGUAUCGUCCAGUGCGACAGAUCUGAUGGAGCGCUUUAAGGGAUGGAUGCUGCUCUUCGCAGAGUUCCUCAUGAGACUGUGUCAGACCUCCCUGCAAUCAUCUCUCCAAUUUGUGGCUGUUCCCGUGAGUUUCUGCUCCAUUUUCUCACUCCCGGAGACUCUACAGGGACAUCAGGGCUCAGCAGGGGCUCCUCUUUCCUUACCCUGUGAUAAACUUCUCCAGGAGUGCUCUGUCAA